UCUGAGGAGCAAGCAGAAGGCAUUUAGCAUGUAUUAUAUUUGAUGGCGCGGUAAGAUUUGAACAGGAAAUGGGUAGAGUUGUGUUUUGCCUUGUUUCCAAAGCCCGGAUACCUGCGAUCAAGGAAGGAAGCUGUUGGCAUGGUUACUCUUGGUGCAGUUGAAGCAGCAUUCCUUUAGCAAUGAAAGCAGUGAGACCUUUUUUGAAAAGUCCUGACCAUUCCUUAUAGUCUGCCAAAUAAAUUCUAUUUAAAAUUACCACUCUUCAUUAUAUUUAGCUCAAAAUAUUCAUCGCAUAUCAAACAAGCAAUCCUAAGUACUCAAUUAAGUCAACCUUUUAUGGUAACAUUUGGGGUGUGGACAUACUUAUAUAUGUGUAAGCGAGCCCUUAGCAAACAUACAUGUUUCUUUAUGGACAGAACCACCCCGCUGUGUAAAGGAAAACUCUGGCAGGAUCGUGUGUGUUUGUGUUUAGGGUGGAACAUUUCUUUCUUCUCUUAAAUGGUAUUGCAUCUUCCUGGUAGCCAGCAGAAACCACAGCCCAGGGGAGCUGGGAGCCAGGUACAGCUUGAGGCAAGAUGAUGAAUGAAGUCCUGGCAGCGUCCCGCGUCCCAGGCCUUGUAGAAAUAACUGAGACAGACGUGCUUCAAAGUUCUAAUGUGCAUCACAUCGGAUCUUGGUUAAGGAAGCGUUAAAAGGAACCCGCCAUUACCUAUUGAGAAGGCUCUGUGCUCUCAGGCAUUUGUUUCUGAUUGAAUCCAGAGGUUGCAAGCAUGCCUCCCUGUAUUACCUGUUGGAGCAGGUUUAAUUUUAUAAAUUUUAAACACAAACUCUAUGAGUUUCUAGUUCAUAAUUGUUCUGUUUGAAGAUCCACUCAGAUGAACAGUAUUGCAUCUGUAAGAGAUACUCACCUCCACAAGCCCAGAAUUGAUUGGAAAAUCAGUGGCAACAAACUCCCAUCUGUAGCAUCAUCCAGUACCAGUGACGGAAAGGACAGAGUGCUUGGAAUCCCUUGGGGAGAAGUCAUGUGUUGGAACUACAGAUGACUGGGACCACAGCUUUAGUACACCAUGGCUUUUUAAAAAACACAGUUGCACAUUCUGUGUUGUUCUUGACCAGUGGCUUUAACCCAUUAUUAUUAUCUCCCUGGAUAUCAUCAAACAUUUUUGAAAGCCUAAAAAUUGCAUUAAAAAUGUUUUUAAAUGCAGCAUUGACAAAAUCCAGUGUUUGAUAUAGUCUUCUGAGUAUUUGACCCCAGCCUUCCUGUCCUGUUACUGCAAACAGCAGGUACCCAGGUGGUAGACUAGAAGCCUUGUGGGAGAGUAAGUAAUGACAGUGAACAGGCAUACCACAUUGUAUCUUAAACAUACUUUAUAAGUACAUUUCUUAUUUGCUUCUUAUUCAGGCAGAGAUUAUAAAAGUUUGCUACAAGUAUCCAAAUUAGGAUUUGUGUUUUGGAUCAUCAGUGUUCACAAUACCUGCAGAGGAAAAAGAAUGGAAAUAUUCAAAUAUGCAUACCCCUUUACACUUAAAAGAAUAUUUUUUAUCAUUCUUUUGUUUUGGCUUUGUUGAAAAUUAAAGUGCUUGGAAUGCUGUAAUUUGUGGUCUCUUGACAUUUAAUCAAUGAGAACCCAACACCUUCACAUUAUGCUGUCACUUUGGACAUUCAUAAUAAAAAUUGAAACUGAU